rnacentral:tRNA from 1 species
CAAAGUAUAGCUUAAAUAAAGCAUCUCGCUUACACCGAAAAAACAUCUGUUAAGAUCAGAUUACUUUGA